rnacentral:misc_RNA from 1 species
AUGAAAUGAAUGUUGAGAAGGGUUGUAGCUGGCCUUCUGAGGCAUGUGCACACCUUGAUCACACAUCCACCUCUUACACCUGUGCACUUUGUGUAGCUUGGGAUGUUUACAAUAUUAGAAAUGAUAUUGAAAGGUCCUAGCUAUGAAUUUUUAUAAACAUAUAUAUAACUAUAGAAUGGAUAAUGUUGUAGCGUGUGAUAGCGCAAAUAUAUA